rnacentral:lncRNA from 12 species
AUGGGGGAGGAAGAAGGGGGCCGGGACAGGCUCUUCAGCGAGUCCUCUGCUCAGUGGAGAAGCCCCAGAACACAGUGUCCUCUGCCUUCAAAGCUCACAGCUGGCUCAGGAAACAGCCCUCCCUCCCACUGUUGUGAUAAUCUGUCUACAGCGUUUGGUGUGUGUUUGUGGGGUGCACUGGGGUGGUUUCCCCACCCCCAUCCCACUGGGUGCUCCAGGUACCGGAGAUCACUAACAGCACAACUGUGGACCACCGUCUGGGGAGGCAGUGCCACCGGAUGGCAGACCGCUAACCGCGACCACGUGGCGUCCUCGUGCCCUGCCGACAAGCAGCACAAAUGUCUGCGGAGCAGCGAGACCAGCCCCACGUGGAUCCAGGCACUUGGGAAAUACCGGGGAAGCCCAAAGAGCCCUGCCCUCCCCGGGGCCAACAUUCUCCUAGGGGGACACGGAGGCUCAGCUGACCACCCUUGGGGAGGAAGGAAGCCUGAGGGUGCAACCACUCUCUGCCCCACCUGCCUCAGCCUGCUGGAGGCCACCAGAACUGCCUGCCAGACCCUUCUGAGGAAAUGGGAGUCAGAAGUUCAGCUGGCCAGGAGUGGACCUCUCCUCUGAUAGAAGCCCUCCCACACGCCUGGACACAAUGCAGAGCACGGGGCCUCUGAGCCAACAGGGCAAGAAAUUCCUAGGGCCUGCCAUGGUCAAGGAAUCAGAUUUUCCUCAUUUAACCAAUGGCUGUUGUCCCUGCCAUCAGCUAUUAGCAUGUCAGAUUAUUAUGUCAGGUGUUUAUUCUUUUGAUCCCAUGGUUCAUGUGCCAGUAAAGAUGUCUUUAGUGGUCAGAAACAGAGAAUUUUUAUUCCGUUGGCUUAGACAAUAAGGAAAGUAUAUUAUCUCACAGAACAAAAAGUCCAGAGGAAGGGUAGCUUCAGCAGAGGUUAAUCCUGUAACUCAAUAUCAGCAUCAAGGACUCAGGCUAUUUCCUCUUUUCCUUCCCCUCUGCCAUUCUCAGCAUAUUGCCUUGUCCUUGGCUAGCUUUCCUCAUGGUCACAAGAUGGCUGCUGCUACGCCAGACAUCACAUUGUCACACAAUAAUGGCCAUAACAGCAAAACAAAACAACAACAACAACAACAACAACAAACAGGAAAUACUUCAUCCUAUGUCCCCGGUUAAGACCAGGGAAAUUUUUUCCUUGAAGCUCCUAAGAGACUCUUCCUCACUGCUCGUUGGCCAGACUUGAGCCCCAUCCCAUGCCCAACUCUAUCCCAAGCAAGGGGGAUAGUUGCAUUACUGCUGCCACAGUACUAACCCUGAGUCCAGAAGGAGGACAGACACCUAGAACAAACCUGGGUUCAGUGGAUACUGAGGGGACAGGUAGUGGGAGGAGGGGCUGCGGGGGGAGGCCACUGCAACCAAGCAUGAGUGCUGCAGCUCACUGGUUUAGACCUGAAGUUUUUCCCUGGUGGGGGAAGAGGAGGAAGGAUUGCUAUUUACAAAGUGAGCCAGGACCCCAGAUUCUAUUACUUGACCAAACUGCCUUACAAAGUUCUUACAGGAGUGUAUUUUACUUCAAGCACUCGUGGAAAGCAUAUAAAAACUCAGGGAUUGAGGCAGAGACAUCGGUCCCUCAUCUGACCAUCUGUUUAGGUUCUUAGGAGCCUCAUUUUUGGAGUUAGGCCCAGGUUUAAAUUCUGGCCCUGUCCCCUUCAGCUUUCUGAUCUUGUACGAAUGACUUCAUCGCCCUGUAUGUGUGCCCUUCCUCUAUGUGUACCAUGAGGAUAACAAUACCCACCCCCAGACUGUUCAAGUAACCAAUACACCAUGUGGCAGAUACAAAAAGGUCAAAAAAGGGAUCCCUGGGUGGCUCAGCGGUUUAGUGCCUGCCUUCAGCCCAGAGCAUGAUCCUGGAGUCCCAGGAUCGAGUCCCGCAUCAGGCUCCCUGCAUGGAGCCUGCUUCUCCCUCUGCUUGUGUCUCUGCCCCUCUCUCUCUCUCUCUGUGUCUCUCAUGAAUAAAUAAAUAAAAUAUUUAAAAAAAAAAAAAAGG